rnacentral:rRNA from 1 species
UCGGGAAUUUUGGGCAAUGGGCGAAAGCCUGACCCAGCAACGCCGCGUGAAGGAUGAAGUUUCUCGGAAUGUAAACUUCACAAGAACGGGAAGAAUAAGGGAGGACUAAUACUCCUCUCGAUGACGGUACCGUUUGUAAGCUCCGGCUAACUCCGUGCCAGCAGCCGCGGUAAUACGGGGGGAGCAAGCGUUGUUCGGAUUUACUGGGCGUAAAGGGCGCGUAGGCGGCGCAACAAGUCACUUGUGAAAUCUCCGGGCUUAACUCGGAGCGGCCAAGUGAUACUGUCGUGCUAGAGUGCGGAAGGGGCAACUGGAAUUCUCGGUGUAGCGGUGAAAUGCGUAGAUAUCGAGAGGAACACCUGCGGCGAAGGCGGGUUGCUGGGCCGACACUGACGCUGAG